CUAGCUUUUCCUAAUUGUGCUGUAGCUUGAAUAUUGAUCCUUUUGUAAGUCUUUGGAUAAAAGCCUAACAGCUAAAUGUAAAUGUAAUGUUAUCUCGAGACGUCGGUGUUUGCUUGAUUUGCCUUGCUAAUGUUAUGUGCUCCCCGCUAAUUAAAUGUUAUUCGUUCCUCUUUAGCAAUCCUAGCAACUGCUUAGCAUGCUAGCAACUCCUAAGCGCGGUGAAAUAUGUCGACUGGCGACACACCUCAGCAAUCAAUCCUUUCCUGGCUUUUUCAAACUUGGUGGAAAACGUGGGAAAAAAAGAUUUUUUGCUGCCUCUACGCAAAAAUCAAAAACGGUAGCACUGAAUUUCUACCUGUUGCCAAAAAAUACCACCCUCACCCCAUUGCCUGCCGAGGAGCUAGAAUUGCUUCAGGCAGGCAUGGGGAGAAAGAGUGUUUCGAUGCCAGAGACUGGUGACCAUUCAGAGAUUACGCAAGUCUUGACUGACACGUUUCCAAAAAUGGAGAAUCUUGCCGGCGGAUGGCUCCUACACAAAGCCUCAGGUGGCAGUGGCCGACGCAAACUUACUGUUAUACCGCCAGAAGCGGAAGGAUACUCUGUAAAAGCUCUUCGAGCUGUCUCUACAGGUGGGAAAGCAAUACUUUUCAUAGUCCCAUUGCAGGAGAGAUUGGAUACUUCACCUUUGUUCCUGACAGGUGAGU